CGCGACCCUAGGUCAGGCAGGAUUACCCGCUGAGUUUAAGCAAAUCAAUAAGCGGAGGAAAAGAAAAUUACAAGAUUCCCUUAGUAACGGCGAUAAAAUCGGGAACAAACCAGCCUUAGAAUCGAGCGGCACCGUCAUUCGAAUUAUAGUUUGGAGAAGCAUCCUCAGCGGCGGACUGGGCCCAAGUCCCUUGGAAGGGGGCGCCAGAGAAGGUUAGAACCCCAUUUUGCUCGAACCCUGUCGCACAAUGAGGCACUGUGUAUGAGUUAGGUUGAUUGGGAAUGCAGCCUAAAUUGGGCAGUGAAUUCUGUCCAAAGCUAAAUACGAGCGACAGACCGAUAGCGAAAAGUACCAUGAGGGAAAGAUGAAAAGGACUUUGAAAAGAGAGUAAAAGAGUGCUUGAAAUUAUCGGGAGGGAAGCGGAUAGGGACUAGCGAUGCACCUCAGUCGGAUAUGUAAUGGCGACGAGCCGGUCCGUUGAUCGACCCGGGGCAUGGACCAGCGUGGAUUGGGAGACAUCCAAAGCCCGGGCUCUCGAUAUGCUCAUGGAACGCUAUCUCCUCGAUUGUGGCAGGCAGCUCCGGUGUGCUUCAGCAUCUGCGAGCUACGGAUUCUGGCCUGUAGGCUCCCUCAUUCAACUCAUCUUGAAAAAUAGACCAAGGAGUCUGAUAUGUGUGUGAUUCAACGGGCGAGUACUCGCCCGUAAGGCGUAAGGAAACGAAUUGGUGGUAUCCCCCUAAGGGGUGCACCACCGAACGACCUUGAUAUUCUAAGAAGGGUUCGAGUGUGAGCAUACCUGUUGGGACCCAAAAAAUGGUGAACUAUGCCUGAGCGGGGCGAAGCCAGAGGAAACUCUGAUGGAGGCCCGCAGCGAUAAUGACAUGCAAAUCGUUUGUCUGACUUGGGUGUAGGUCUCGCGACUGCUUUGUCGAUCCGUGCCACGGAAUCAAGAGCUCCAAGUGGACCAUUUUUUGUAAACAGAACUGGCGAUGCGGGAUGAACCAAAAGUCAGUUACUGCGCCAAACUGCACGUUAACCUAGACCCCACAAAGGGUGUUGGUCGAUUAAGACAGCAGGACGGUGUUCAUGGAAGUAAAAAUCCACUAAGAAGUGUGUAACAACUCACCUUUCGAAUAAACAAGACCCAAAAAUGGAUGGCACUUAAGCAUUUGCCCUACACUCGACCGUCGAGGAAAGUUCCAUGCCCCGAUGAGUAGGAGGCCAUCGGUGCAGAUAUAGGUUGUAUUACCAAAUAUUCAAAUGAGAACUUUGAAGGCCAAAGAGGGGAAAGGUUCCAUGUGAAUAGCACUUGCAGAUGGGUUAGUCGAUCCUUAGGGUCGGAAAAACCCUGACAGAUAGAGCAUUUUGCGUACUCUAAAAGAGAAUCGGGUUAAAAUUCCUGGACCGAGAAGUGGUGGUCAACAGUAACAUUAGAAAGUCCAGAGACGUCGGUAGAAGCCUCGAGAAGAGUUAUCUUUUCUGUUAAACAGCCUACCCACCCUGGAAUCGGCUCAGCUAGAGGUAGGAUCCAGCGGCUGGAAGAGCACCGUAUAUCGCGUGGUGUCCGGUGCACUUCUGGAAGCCCUAGAAAAUCCAAAUGACCGAAUGUCGUCCACACCUGUUCGCUAUCAUAGCCUCAUCAAGUAUCCAAGGGGAACAACCUCUGGUCGAUGGAACAAUGUAGGCAAGAAAAGUCUGCAAAAUGGCUCCGUAACUUCUGGAAAAUGAUUGACACUGAGGGCUGGGCAUGGGGGUCCCAGUCCUGAACCCGUCGGCUGUCAGUGGACUACUCGAGAUGCUCCUGCAGUAAGAGCGGGUCGCUGCAUGCCAGUUUGGGUACGGAUUAGGAACGGUUCCUUCAGGGGCCUUCCCCGCGCGUUGAACAGCCAGCUCAAAACUGGUAUGGACAAGGGUAAUCUGACUGUUUAAUUAAAACAAAGCAUUGGGAUGGUCCCAAUGGAUGUUCAAGCAUUGUCAUUUCCGCCCAGUGCUCUGAAUGUCAAAGUGAAGAAAUUCAAGAAAGUGCGGGUAAACGGCAGGAGUAAUAUGAGUCUCUUAAGGUAGCCAAAUGCCUCGUUAUCUAAUUAGUGACGCGCAUGAAUGGAUUAACGAUAUUACCGCUAUCCCUAUCUACUAUCUAGCGAAACCACAACCAAGGGAAUGGGCUUGGCAGAAUUAGCUAGGAAAGAAGACCCUCUUAAUCUUGAGUCUACUCUGAAAGGCGAAAGCGAAAUACCAAUACUUUUAACAUUAUUUUACUUAUUUCAUGAAUCAAAAGUGGAGCACUACCCCUCUUUUUGGACCCAAGGCUCGCUCUGCGGGCUGAUCCGGGUGGAAGACAUUGUUAGGUAAGGAGUUUGGCUGGGGCGGCAUAUCUGUUAAAAGAUAACGCAGGUGUCCUAAGAUGAGCUCAAAGAGAAUGGAAAUAUCGUGUGGAACAGAAGCGUAAAAGCUCAUUUGAUUAUGAGUUCCAGUACAAAUACGAACCAUGAAAGCGUGGCUUAACGAUCCUGUAGACCUUCAAAAUUCCAAGCUAAAGGUGUCAGAAAAGUGUUACCACAGGGAUAACUGGCCUGUUGCAGCCAAGCGUUCAUAGUGAAAUUGUUUUUUCAUUCUUCGAUGUCGGCUCUUCCUAUCAUUGUGAAGCAGAAUUCACCAAGUGUUGGACUAUUUACCCACCAAUAGGGAAUGUGAGCUGGGUUUAGAUCAUCGUGAUAUAGGUUAGUUUUACCCUACUUAUGACAGUGUCGCAAUAAUAAUUCAACCUAGUAUGAUAGAAAACGUUGAUUCACAUAAUUUGUCAUCGCGCUUGGUUGAAAAGCCAGUGGCACAAAACUACCGUGUGCUGGAUUAUGACUGAACGCCUCUAAGUCAGAAUCCGGGCUAGAAGAGAUGCAUGCGCCUGCUAUCUUCUUGCCGACCCACAGUAGAGGCCUUGUCCCCCAAGGACACGUGUCGUUUGCUAAGCCACCACGGUGGAAGAGCCACGGUAGCCACCUUGAAGUAUAAUUUCCAUCGACCGGUGGGUAGAAUACUCUGCAGA
rnacentral:rRNA from 1 species